UGGAAGAAAAAUAAGCACUCACCAAUCUACAAACGUGUAUAGCGGCACUGACACCGGAGAUAUCAGCUCGUUAAAAAGGCCAGAGACUGGUUGGAGAGGUCCAUGUAGAUGCCUCCCAGCUGAUUGGCACCAACACUAAGGACGCCACCAGGAAUGACACCCGGGCUGGUAACUGUGACCAUUCACUCCAAUGAAGGUUCCUGACGUCACACUCCCAGAGCAAGAACACCUGGUCACCCAGAGCAGCAACAGCCUUCCUCAUUUGCCUAGUAUUGUCUGCUUCAAGUGAACGUAGAAUGUGUUGAGCUCGUCUGGGAGGCUUAUUAAGUGAAUAACAUCAGUUCUUGCUUCACAAAACCUAUACAGUGAUAACAUUUGGCAAAUAUGCAUAUUUUUUUAGAUUUCUUUCAACCUAUUAAAUGUUCCCAAAUGCCCAAUGGUA